CCAGAGGAACCGUCUCCUUCGGAGAUUGGGUGAAGUUUUGGUUUGCAGUGAUGUAGAAGCACUGCAGGUUACCUGUUGUGAUUUGUUCAGAGAUUUCCCUCAGGAGAGUGAUCAGUAUGUGUCCGGUCUGCUGCGCUGGAAGGGGAUGUUAUCAGAGCGACAGACGAGAGAAGUGCUGGAUAUGAGCCGGGAACUCGGACUCGGUCUAAAGCCUAGACGCUCCACCUGUCAGCCUCUGAAAGGACUUUUAUGUUUUUUUGAUAUAAAAACACCAUGACAGUUUGA